UAGGGAAUCUUCCACAAUGGACGAAAGUCUGAUGGAGCAACGCCGCGUGAGCGAUGAAGGCCUUCGGGUCGUAAAGCUCUGUUGUUAGGGAAGAACAAGUACCGGAGUAACUGCCGGUACCUUGACGGUACCUAACCAGAAAGCCACGGCUAACUACGUGCCAGCAGCCGCGGUAAUACGUAGGUGGCAAGCGUUGUCCGGAAUUAUUGGGCGUAAAGCGCGCGCAGGCGGUCCUUUAAGUCUGAUGUGAAAGCCCACGGCUCAACCGUGGAGGGUCAUUGGAAACUGGGGGACUUGAGUGCAGAAGAGGAAAGCGGAAUUCCACGUGUAGCGGUGAAAUGCGUAGAGAUGUGGAGGAACACCAGUGGCGAAGGCGGCUUUCUGGUCUGUAACUGACGCUGAGGCGCGAAAGCGUGGGGAGCAAACA
rnacentral:rRNA from 2 species